GUCUCAGUCAUGUGGACACACCACUGGGAAUGGAGGGAAAUACGUGACUGCAUGGUCGAUGCUUUCUAAGUUGCGAACUCCUAUUCCAGGCGGGCUGUGCCUGAGUCAGUGCCGGCUUCAGUUCUUCACGGCCCGGGGCCCUGGGAAGGUGGAGCCAGCUGCUUCUCCCCCGAAUAACUGGGAGAUGAAACAGGAAGCUCUAUGACACAGUUGAUCGAAAAUGACACAGACACAGAAAAAUCAGGACUCGGCCCCCUCCAGUGCCUCUACCUGCUGCCCACGGCCGGAGUGCAGAUGUGCAAAGCAAGGAGCAGAAAGCGAAAGGACGUGGCUGAAGCAUGCAGCCUCCAGCAGCUCUCCCGUCCUUUAUGAACUGGAUCUGGAGAGGAGACUCAGGAGGUUCUCUCUCGCCUGGCUCCACUGUGUACACUUUGUGUGUGCGGGCAUGCAUGUGACAUUCUUUACCCGGCUGCAGCUGGGGCUCGCUCCGGGAUGAGCCCACCCCCACUUGCUCCUCCCUGACCCCCCUCCUCCCCGCUCUGCCU